GUUAGUUAACCGACAUACCCUCAACCUCAAUGACUCAAAUUUAGCCAUAGCUGCUCAAAGUCUCUCUUUGAUCUCUUGCUAUCUUAAUCACUUUUUCUUUGUUGCUAACGAUGAUCUUCGAUUCGAUUGAAUGAUUGUGAGCAAAAUCUUGUCUAGUUGUCUUGAUCCUUGAAUCUUGAGGUUUCUCCAAACUCCAAAGUACAAAUCUCAUCUCCUGAUAUCAAGAUUUGACUUUGCAAUUAGAAAGAUUGGAGGAUUCAUUGAAUUGAAUUUGAGGGCCAUAUUUGUUAUUGAUUUGAUUGAAAAAGAAAUGCAAAACAGCUUACUAGAAACUAGUACAGAGUUACUUCUUCUUGUGUCAUACCUUGAUCCAAGGGAUUCAUUUUCCAAAUUCAACAUCGAUAAGCUACUUCGUCUUGUGGAACUUUAUCCUGAAGAUUUCACAAUGACUGAACAUAUAAUGCUUGAGGAUCAACUUGCCACUUUCAUUUAUGAUGUGCGGCAUGAUGAAGAUUUUAUAAAUGUCGGUGACUUGGGAGGUUUUGCUAGAAAGAUGGUUGAGACUGGUAUAAGUGUUAUUUUUCCACUCAUUUAUUAUCUUAUUGAGUUGGCAUUGGUUUUACCAAUUGCGACAGCUAGUGUUGAGAGGGUGUUUUCAGCGAUGAAUGUUGUAAAAAUUGAUUUGCGCAACAAAAUGGGAGACGAGUAGAUGAACGAUAGCUUGGUUGUCUAUAUUGAGCGAGAGAUUUCUUGCAUCUAUUGAUAAUGAAGGGAUUGUACAAUGUUUUAAAAUAUCUAAACUCGGCGGAUGCAAUAACCUCCUCUUAGUGGCAUGCCUCGCAUUUCUAGCACUGACACUGGCAUUGGCUCUAAUUCAAGCUUGCAUAGAUAGCUAU